rnacentral:rRNA from 1 species
CACGUGGGUAACCUGCCUGUAAGACUGGGAUAACUCCGGGAAACCGGGGCUAAUACCGGAUGCUUGUUUGAACCGCAUGGUUCAAACAUAAAAGGUGGCUUCGGCUACCACUUACAGAUGGACCCGCGGCGCAUUAGCUAGUUGGUGAGGUAAUGGCUCACCAAGGCGACGAUGCGUAGCCGACCUGAGAGGGUGAUCGGCCACACUGGGACUGAGACACGGCCCAGACUCCUACGGGAGGCAGCAGUAGGGAAUCUUCCGCAAUGGACGAAAGUCUGACGGAGCAACGCCGCGUGAGUGAUGAAGGUUUUCGGAUCGUAAAGCUCUGUUGUUAGGGAAGAACAAGUACCGUUCGAAUAGGGCGGUACCUUGACGGUACCUAACCAGAAAGCCACGGCUAACUACGUGCCAGCAGCCGCGGUAAUACGUAGGUGGCAAGCGUUGUCCGGAAUUAUUGGGCGUAAAGGGCUCGCAGGCGGUUUCUUAAGUCUGAUGUGAAAGCCCCCGGCUCAACCGGGGAGGGUCAUUGGAAACUGGGGAACUUGAGUGCAGAAGAGGAGAGUGGAAUUCCACGUGUAGCGGUGAAAUGCGUAGAGAUGUGGAGGAACACCAGUGGCGAAGGCGACUCUCUGGUCUGUAACUGACGCUGAGGAGCGAAAGCGUGGGGAGCGAACAGGAUUAGAUACCCUGGUAGUCCACGCCGUAAACGAUGAGUGCUAAGUGUUAGGGGGUUUCCGCCCCUUAGUGCUGCAGCUAACGCAUUAAGCACUCCGCCUGGGGAGUACGGUCGCAAGACUGAAACUCAAAGGAAUUGACGGGGGCCCGCACAAGCGGUGGAGCAUGUGG